rnacentral:rRNA from 1 species
CGGUAACAGCUCAAAUUUGAAAUCUGACCUUCACGGGUCCGAGUUGUAAUUUGUAGAGGAUGUUUCGGAUAGGCUUUGGUUUAAGUUUCUUGGAACAGAACGUCAUAGAGGGUGAGAGUCCCGUCU